CAGCCGCCGCGGUAAUACGUAGGGUGCAAGCGUUGUUCGGAAUUACUGGGCGUAAAGCGCGUGUAGGUGGUUGAGUAAGUCGAAUGUGAAAGCCCCGGGCUCAACCCGGGAAGUGCAUCCGAAACUGCUCGACUAGAGUCCCGGAGAGGAAGGCAGAAUUCCCAAUGUAGGGGUGAAAUCCGUAGAUAUUGGGAGGAAUACCGGUGGCGAAGGCGGCCUUCUGGACGGUGACUGGCACUCAGACGCGAAAGCGUGGGGAGCAAACAGGAUUAGAUACCCUGGUAGUCCACGCUGUAAACGUUGCGAACUAGGUGUCGGGGGUAUUCACCCCUCCGGUGCCGAAGCUAACGUCUUAAGUUCGCCGCCUGGGAAGUACGGCCGCAAGGCUAAAACUCAAAGGAAUUGACGG
rnacentral:rRNA from 1 species